rnacentral:ncRNA from 1 species
CCUGGGGGAGCUCGUGCAACGGGCUGAGAUGAGGGCACCACCCGAAAACCCCGACACCUGAUCAGGGUAAUGCCUGCGUAGGAAAGGAAGUAAUU